rnacentral:sRNA from 1 species
AGCUCGACCGGGUCCACGCCGCGGGUCACCGUCAGGUAGUCGCGGAUCGCGAUGCCGUGCCGGCCCUC